GGGCGGGGCGGCGGGAGGAGCCUGCCUGAGUCCGUGCGCGGGACGAAGAGCGGAGCUGCCGGGUUGGCCGUGCGCGGCUCCGCGUGUCCGGCUCGAGACAGCACCUGCGUUACCCAAUGAGCCGUGUUUUCUGACGUGUUCGAGUUAGCUUUCCUUCCACCAGAAAUACUUGAAUUGAAUCAUAAUGUGGGAGACAGUCUUCCGUUGUUCCAGCCCGCUCCUGCUAACGCGUUGCGCUGCUCACUCGGGUCACUCGGCACAACUAGAUAAUACCUCAAUUCAAAUAGUUCUGUGGUGACAAGCACGCAGCCAGCUCCUUACCUAUCUACAUCCAUCUACUGGAAACUUCGAAGACAGGUCUUUGCUUCUUCACUCUACCAGCCUCCCUUCUGAGGUGGAUGUCGGGGCUCAGCCCCGGAUCUGCGCCACGGCCGCUAUUUCCAGUGAUGGUUACCAGCCUCGCAGUGCUGCUGUGGGCACAUCUCGGCUCUAAGGUACUGCUGAGCUCCAAACACCCCGUGAGCAUCCUAAACACAGCGACACAAAGCCUGAUCUCCGACAGCCUGUUACCAUUCCCCCAUCUGCAGCUUAACAUUUGUAGCAGCUCUCGGAUACUAAUGGGAUGAGCAACCCGCCAAC
rnacentral:lncRNA from 1 species